rnacentral:rRNA from 1 species
UGUAAGCGUAUACCAAAGUUGUUGCAGUUAAAACGCUCGUAGUCGGAAUUUGGCAGUUCCGGAUGUGUGCACGUCGUGUGCGCACUUCGCGGGGAUUGCUUUUGUGGUCUUGCGUAGGAUGAGGCACUUUUAUUAGUGAACGUCCUCACGCAACCACUUUUUACUGUGAGAAAAUCAGAGUGCUCAAAGCAGGCAUUUGCCGUGAAUGUAUUAGCAUGGAAUAAUAGAAUAGGACUCGGUUCUAUUUUGUUGGUUUGUUGGGACUGAGUAAUGAUUAAGAGGGACAGUUGGGGGCAUUUGUAUUUCGGCGCUAGAGGUGAAAUUCUUAGAUUGCCGAAAGACAAACUGCUGCGAAAGCGUCAGCCAAGGAUGUUUUCAUUGA